rnacentral:sRNA from 1 species
AUAACCUUUAAAUUAGUCCAGAGAGGCUAAGAAGGCAUUGAAUCGGAUACAGAGAUAUGUUCUCUGUAAAGCAGUGGCAUGGUCACUGUUAAACGCUUAUGCCCUCGGUAUAAGCGUUUUUUUUCG